ACUGGCUAUAUGGGCAUUUGUGCAAAUGCCCGGUGGGCCGGUAUCCAAAUGGGCCGGUAGGGUCACCUAAAGGUCCACAUGAAUGCCAAUUUGUCUUCUGCUACUUCUAGGGAGUCACGUCUGAAGAGCUUCUGAAGGUCUCGUCCUCCUCAACAUCUCGGAGACAGACACUGCAAUCAAGGGUUGUUUUUUGAAAAAGACAUUUGAUCUCGUCCAAAGGGUGAUUAUGUAUUGGCCCUUUGGCAGACCUCUGCACUAGUUGGCAGGAAACAGAGAAAAUACAAUUUUGUCUACAGUGUAAUUCUUUGGUAUUACAACAUGUUAUUCACCAAUUCCAUGGUCUUCCUUGCAUGGCUUGGAAAAUACUUAGAUAACUCAAGAUGUUAUAUCGCGAAUGUUACGUAAUGAUAUGAUUACUUCAAGAGCUUAGAAAACACACCCACUAACUUCAGUCUGAUGUCCACACCAUGACGUCAGUUUAUGAUGUAAUGUCAUACUAUAAACGCCUAGCUAGCUACAGGGCUCUUUUAGAGAGUGACCUAACAGUGUAUUGCACUUGGCUGGCACAGCUUGGAUUCCUCUACACUGGACAUAACUUGGAACUACAGUGCGAAUUUUGCAGUGUUCUGGUUCAAAUCCACGCAAACUGGUCUGUGACAAGGUCAAGGCUAAGACACGAGAGUGGAUGUGUUUUCGAAAUUUCGUUGAAACAAUUUCUUGAAGAUCAAAACAGAUCAACUUCUUCCGAGGACGAUAGCGUCCGGGUCUCAGACACUUCGGAUGACCGAAUAUUAGAAGCUUCGGGUGCCACAGCCAAACCAGUAAUGGGUGUCACUCAAGUCGAGUCCUCAAGCGAUGCCCUAGCAACAUGUCCCUCUAAUAUCAUCAGCGUACUUCCAAUGGAUAUACCAGCAGAGUCCAAAGGACAAGAACAAUGCAGUCUGCCCAAUGCCUCCUUAUCGGGACAACACUUAACA
rnacentral:sRNA from 1 species